AAACAGCCCCCUAUGUUUUGAUUCUUUGGCAGUUUUGGACCCCAAGGUAAAAAAAAAAAAAAAAAAUUUGACACGUGGCACCUCACUUAGAGUGCCACGUCAGCGUUGACCGAGUCAACAAUGGACUGGGGGUCCAAAACUGCCAAAGAAUCAAAACAUAGGGGGCUGUUU
rfam:Medicago truncatula strain A17 chromosome 1, whole genome shotgun sequence.